rnacentral:lncRNA from 1 species
UUUAUUUUUAUAUUUUCAGUAUCUUCUAUGAGUAAACGAAUAUAACAACAAUUAUAUAAUAUAAUAAGAUACUUUUGAGAUUUUUCAAAAAAAUAAAAAGGUAAUAGAAAUGCAAAUGAAAUUGUGAGAGAUAUUAUAAAAGUACCGAUAUUUAUUAUAACAUACAAAUAAAAUAACUCUCUUUAAAGUAGUAUAUAAUUAUAUUUUAAAUAUUUUCAACACUUCUACGCACUCACAAUAAAAAAAAACGCACUUCCGUUUUAAAGGACGGUGACACGCUCUGUUUCGACAAUCAACGUCGGUUUGGCAAGGGAAUCGCUGAACUGCGAUGUAAAAGAAAUCAUAUUGUUCAAUUUAGUGAUCAAGUAAUGUAUGUAUGAUAAUAACAAUAAAUUUUAAAAUGAUGAGAGUAAAUGACUUACAGAUUGUGGGUCUACCUUCGGCGGCAUUGACGCCUGUGAUUACAACAAGAAACAAGAAACAAAAUAUUAUGAAAUAAUAACCACAUCUAGGAAUUUUACCCAUAUAUAUUUCCUCUUAAGCAUCUAAAUUGAAAAUUUUACUUGAAAAGUAUUUUUUUAAAUAGUUUUUUUAAUGAUAAUUAAUUAAGUAGAUGCCAUUACUUUAUAGUAGCAAAAAGACAAUCAUAAUAUUUUAGUUUUUGUUAUAUUUUUCUUUUUGUUAAAUGUCUCUUGGAUAUAUAAAAUAUCAUGUUUGUCUCUUAAGCUCAUUGAUUCAAUCACUUAAAUUUAAAGAGUUGAUUGAGAAUUUCUUAUUUUGAAUACAAUGUAUAUGUUUGAAAAAUCGAAUGAUACUGAAAAGAAGCUUGAUAAUUUAAUACGUGAAAGAAAAUUAACUUGAAUUUAAGAUGUCGAGAGAGAAGCUCUCAUCUCUCUCUAGAAACCUAUCAACCAUAAACAGUUUUUCAAUCCUCACUAUUAAAAAAUAGACCUUUUCAUAACAUCAUAUUUAUCAUGGUCUUUCCGUUAACAGUUGUAAUAGUUCUUUUUUGGAUGCUUUUUUUAUUUAUUUACGAAAGGACAUUUCACAACGGUCAUAGGUAUCAACCAUAGUGAAAGGUAUCUGGAGUGAAAUUGUUAGAAUCCCAACACAAACAAUUUUCUAUUUAUCAUGAUUUAAUGUGUUUGACUUGUAUAUCACCACAAUUUUUAUAAUCAAUCAUGUUGUAAGUUUCAAUCAUUUCAUCACGGUUCGUAUUGUCAACCUUGGUGAAAGAUAUUACUUAUUUAUAUAUAAACGAAAUUAUCCCUCUUUUUAGUCCAUUACAACCGUCUCUCUCAAAACAAAACCCUAACAUCUCUUUCACUCGUUUCUCUCAAAACUAAAUCUUAACAUCUUUGUCACUCAUCUCUCUCAUAUUGAAACUCCAAUCUUAUCCAGCCAACUCGUCUUCUUCGAAGGUUUCUUUUCUUUUAUCAUAUCUUAGCAAAUGACUACUUUACAGGUUCGUCUUCACUAUAGUUUAUGUUCCAAAAUCUGUUUAUCUAUUAUUGUUUAUGUUUCAUCAUGUUUGAAGUUUUUACCUGUUUCAUUAUGUAGGUGGGGAUGCUUGUUUCAAUAACAAGGACAAAGCUAAAGUGAGCGUUACAAAUUUUUGUGCAAGAUCCAGAAUGACAUCCAUUCAAAAUAGACACGAGUUUGCCGCUCUAACUUCAGCUUCAUCCUUAUUUCAUUGUGGAUGUCAUUAUGGGACAUGUAAGUUUCUGAAACGUUCUAUGAGUUGAUACGUUUGUUGUAUCAUGUAUGUUGUUUAUGGUUUGUUGUUUCUGAAUGUUAUUGUUAAUAUUCAUUUAAAAGAUGAGUUUAUUAUAUAUUAUGUGGUUUGAGUGUUUUUCCAGUUCCUUACCAAAUCUAUAACUUUUCAGAUUGCAUUAGAAAACUCUAACAUGAUAGAUAAAUUUAUAUUAGAAAAUAAGUACACGUUUAAUUCUUGACAAUAAUUCUUUAGUUUGUUAUCAACAUAUUAUUCUUUAACCAUUAGAACUUUAUUUAGUGAUUGUAGAUCUUCAACCUCCCAUCUCUGCACCUCUAAUUUUAUUUGUAAAAUAAAUAAUAUUUUGUAAAAUGAACUAGAGUUGUAUGAAGGGACGGUUGAAUAUCUACAAUCAUUAAACAAAGUUUUAACUGUUAAAAAAAAUACGGAUAAGGAGCUGAAGAACUCUUGUCAAGCAUUGAACGUGAACUUGUUCUUCAAAUAUAACUUAAUUUAUCGUAUUAUAAUGUUCUAGAUCAAAUUGAAAGAUUAUAUGUUUAGUGAGCAUUGGCAAAAUAAGCAUUCCACAUAAUUUAUAAUAAACUCAGGUGUAUAUAUCACAAUAGUUGUUUAUACCAAACGUUGUUAAAUAUUAUGCAUUAUAGAAUAUCACCAUGAAAUGUUUAAAGUAACAGUUGUGGUAGGUAGCACGUUACAUAGCUUAUAAUCACAGUCGCACGACCGUGGUGGAAAACAUCGUGCAUACAAUCACAAUUUACCUCACAACGGUUAGUUCAGCGUGGUGGUAUCCUUUUUCCAACCGUUGAGAAAUAUAUUUUCUGUAGUAGUGCAUAAUUUGUUAUCAUCACUACUACGGAAAAUUCCUCUCGUAACGGUUGGAAAAUGAAUACUAUCACGGUAUACCAACCAUUGUGAGGUAUGGUAUGGUUGUAAGUAUGUUAUUUUCCGCCACGAGCGUGUGACCGUUGUGAUAAAUUAGGUAGUGCAUCAUAUAUCACAACAGUUAGAAUAAACAACCAUUGUGCAAUAUAUAUAGAGGUCAUGGGUUUGAAACCCAAUGAUUUUAUGAUAUCUAAUUAAUUGACACGCUACUUAUUACAAUGGUUAUUGUAAAUAAUCAUUGUGAAAUACUUUAUUUUUUAUUUUAUUUUAUUUUAUUUUUUCAUAUAUUACAAACAUAUUUUUUUACGUGUAUUUUAUACAUAUAUUACCUAAAUAUUUUUUACAUCAAUGUCAAAAAUAUUAUUUACAAAC